GCCGGGAUGGCGGAAUUGGCAGACGCGCUGGCUUUAAACCCCAGUGGCUUAGCCGUGAUGGGUUCGAGUCCCUCUCCCGGCACCA
rnacentral:tRNA from 1 species